rnacentral:rRNA from 1 species
GACGAACGCUGGCGGCGUGCUUAACACAUGCAAGUCGAACGGAAAGGCCCCCAUCUUGGUGGGGGUGCUCGAGUGGCGAACGGGUGAGUAACACGUGGGUGAUCUGCCCUGUACUUCGGGAUAAGCUUGGGAAACUGGGUCUAAUACCGGAUAGGACCAUGGUUUAGUGUCUCAUGGUGGAAAGAUUAUUGUUUUGGUGCAGGAUGAGCUCGCGGCCUAUCAGCUUGUUGGUGGGGUAAUGGCCUACCAAGGCGUCGACGGGUAGCCGGCCUGAGAGGGUGGACGGCCACAUUGGGACUGAGAUACGGCCCAGACUCCUACGGGAGGCAGCAGUGGGGAAUAUUGCACAAUAGGCGCAAGCCUGAUGCAGCGACGCCGCGUGGGGGAUGACGGCCUUCGGGUUGUAAACUCCUUUCGUUAGGGACGAAGCCGCACUUUUUUUGGGUGUGGUGACGGUACCUUUGUUAAGAAGCACCGGCUAACUACGUG